UACAGAGGUCUCAAGCGUUGUUCGGAUUCAUUGGGCGUAAAGGGUGCGUAGGUGGCGCGUAAGUCAGGUGUGAAAUUUCGGAGCUUAACUCCGAAACUGCAUUUGAUACUGGCGUGCUUGAGGACUGGAGAGGAGAGCUGGAAGUUACGGUGUAGCAGUGAAAUGCGUAGAGAUCGUGAGGAAGACCAGUGGCGAAGGCGGGUCUCUGGACAGUUCCUGACACUGGAGGCAGCGAAGGCCCAGGGGAGCAAACGGGGAUUAGAUACCCC
rnacentral:rRNA from 1 species